UAUUUUGACUAUACAAAGGUAUUGUAAUAAGACUUUAAUUGAGUGCUAAAAGAAUGGAGUUUCAAAAAAAGUCUAUCUUGAAUUCAAAAAUUGAAUUUAUUUUUAUUUGUGAAGAAACAAUAAUUAAAAUUAAGGACAAGAAGACCCUAAGAAUUUUUAAUUUUGUAUAUAUAUAUUUAUAUAUACAAAAUUUUAAUUGGGGCGAUUAAAAAAUAUAGUUAACUUUUAAUUUUAAAAAAUGAUCCAUUAUUAGUGAUUUAAUGUAAAAAAUACUCUAGGGAUAACAGCGUAAUAAUUUUAGAUAGAUCUUAUAGAAAAAAUAGUUUGUGACCUCGAUGUUGGAUUAGGAUUCUUUUUUAAUGAAGAAGUUAAAAUAAGAAGUUUGUUCAACUUUUAAAAUCC
rnacentral:rRNA from 1 species